UUCCCGGCCCCUCGUACGGUUCGGCCGUUAACCCCGUCAGAUCCGGAAGGAAGCAGCGGUCCGCGGUACCGACGUGUCGAGGUCCGCCGGGAGGUU
rnacentral:SRP_RNA from 1 species